rnacentral:rRNA from 1 species
UACGUAGGGGGCGAGCGUUGUCCGGAGUUACUGGGCGUAAAGCGCUUGUAGGCGGUCCACCAAGUUUGGGGUGACAGUUGCCGACUUAAUCGGCAAAGUGCCUCAAAGACUGGCGGACUCGAGGGCCACAGAGGGACACGGAACUCCAGGUGUAGUGGUGAAAUGCGUAGAUAUCUGGAAGAACACCAAAGGCGAAGGCAGUGUCCUGGGUGGUCGCUGACGCUGAGAGGCGAAAGCCAGGGGAGCGAACGGG